rnacentral:rRNA from 1 species
CGUAGGGUGCGAGCGUUAAUCGGAAUUACUGGGCGUAAAGCGUGCGCAGGCGGUGAUGUAAGACAGAUGUGAAAUCCCCGGGCUCAACCUGGGAACUGCGUUUGUGACUGCAUCACUCGAGUACGGCAGAGGGAGGUGGAAUUCCGCGUGUAGCAGUGAAAUGCGUAGAUAUGCGGAGGAACACCGAUGGCGAAGGCAGCCUCCUGGGCCAGUACUGACGCUCAUGCACGAAAGCGUGGGGAGCAAACAGGAUUAGAUACCCUGGUAGUCCACGCCCUAAACGAUGUCAACUAGUUGUUCGGUGAGGAGACUCAUUGAGUAACGCAGCUAACGCGUGAAGUUGACCGCCUGGGGAGUACGGCCGCAAGGUUA